GCCUCAUUCUGGAUAGCUCAGUUGGUUAGCGUGUGGUGCUGAUAACACCAAGGUUGCAGGUUCGAUCCCCAUACGAGACA
rnacentral:tRNA from 1 species